rnacentral:rRNA from 1 species
CCUACGGGUGGCUGCAGUGGGGAAUAUUGGACAAUGGGGGGAACCCUGAUCCAGCCAUGCCGCGUGUGUGAAGAAGGCCCUCGGGUUGUAAAGCACUUUCAGUGAGGAAGAACGCCUGGUGGUUAAUACCCAUCAGGAAAGACAUCACUCACAGAAGAAGCACCGGCUAACUCCGUGCCAGCAGCCGCGGUAAUACGGAGGGUGCGAGCGUUAAUCGGAAUUACUGGGCGUAAAGCGCGCGUAGGUGGCUUGAUAAGCCGGUUGUGAAAGCCCCGGGCUCAACCUGGGAACGGCAUCCGGAACUGUCAAGCUAGAGUGCAGGAGAGGAAGGUAGAAUUCCCGGUGUAGCGGUGAAAUGCGUAGAGAUCGGGAGGAAUACCAGUGGCGAAGGCGGCCUUCUGGACUGACACUGAUACUGAGGUGCGAAAGCGUGGGUAGCAAACAGGAUUAGAUACCCGGGUAGUC